GGGGGCGACAUGGCUUCGACGGGAGUGGCAAAACCGGAGGUGCAUGCCGAGGGUCAGAUUACCUCGUAAAUCCAGCUGAUAACUUAUAGUUGCCAACGAUGACAACUACGCAAUGGCUGCAUAAUUAGACUUUAAACUCUAGUUAUACCAGCUGUAACCCAGUUCCGUUUUGCCUGUGACUCGGGCUGGGUGCAAUAGCCGCAGGAUCGCCAGAAGGGUCGUACUUACACCGGACGGUUAAACAAAUAAUGUACUCGCUUCUCUUUAUGGUGCCCGUCCUGCAUUGAGAAGUUAAAGCCAAUGACGGACCUAAGCAUGUAGUACCAAAGGCGGAGUGCUUUCGGACGGGGGUUCAAUUCCCCCCGCCUCCACCA
rnacentral:tmRNA from 1 species